GAUGGGAGCUUGCUCCCUGAUGUCAGCGGCGGACGGGUGAGUAACACGUGGGUAACCUGCCUGUAAGACUGGGAUAACUCCGGGAAACCGGGGCUAAUACCGGAUGCUUGAUUGAACCGCAUGGUUCAAUUAUAAAAGGUGGCUUUUAGCUACCACUUACAGAUGGACCCGCGGCGCAUUAGCUAGUUGGUGAGGUAACGGCUCACCAAGGCAACGAUGCGUAGCCGACCUGAGAGGGUGAUCGGCCACACUGGGACUGAGACACGGCCCAGACUCCUACGGGAGGCAGC
rnacentral:rRNA from 1 species